rnacentral:rRNA from 1 species
UACGAAGGGGGCUAGCGUUGCUCGGACUCACUGGGCGUAAAGCGCACGUAGGCGGAUUUUUAAGUCAGGGGUGAAAUCCUGGAGCUCAACUCCAGAACUGCCUUUGAUACUGGGAAUCUCGAGUCCGGAAGAGGUGAGUGGAACUGCGAGUGUAGAGGUGAAAUUCGUAGAUAUUCGCAAGAACACCAGUGGCGAAGGCGGCUCACUGGUCCGGUACUGACGCUGAGGUGCGAAAGCGUGGGGAGCAAACAGG